rnacentral:rRNA from 1 species
GAUGAACGCUGGCGGUAUGCUUUACACAUGCAAGUCGUACGAGAGUUUUUAACUCUAGUGGCGGACGGGUGAGUAACACGUAAGAAUUUGCCUUUAGGAGGGGGAUAACAACUGGAAACGGUUGCUAAUACCCCAUAUGCUUUCGAGUGAAAUGGAUUUCCGCCUAAAGAGAAGCUUGCGGCUGAUUAGCUUGUUGGUGAGGUAAUGGCUCACCAAGGCGACGAUCAGUAUCUGGUUUGAGAGGACGAUCAGACACACUGGAACUGAGACACGGUCCAGACUCCUACGGGAGGCAGCAGUGGGGAAUUUUCCGCAAUGGGCGCAAGCCUGACGGAGCAAUACCGCGUGAGGGAUGAAGGCCUAUGGGUUGUAAACCUCUUUUUUUAGGGAGGAACAAAAUGACGUGUACCUAAAGAAUAAGCAUCGGCUAACUCCGUGCCAGCAGCCGCGGUAAGACGGGGGAUGCAAGUGUUAUCCGGAAUCACUGGGCGUAAAGCGUCUGUAGGUGGUUAAGUAAGUCAACUGUUAAAUCUUGAGGCUUAACCUCAAAAUCGCAGUCGAAACUGUUUGACUAGAGUAUAGUAGGGGUAAAGGGAAUUUCCAGUGGAGCGGUGAAAUGCGUAGAUAUUGGAAAGAACACCGAUGGCGAAGGCACUUUACUGGGCUA